rnacentral:rRNA from 1 species
GUGAACGCUGGCGGUAGGCCUAACACAUGCAAGUCGAACGGCAGCACAGUAAGAGCUUGCUCUUACGGGUGGCGAGUGGCGGACGGGUGAGGAAUACAUCGGAAUCUACUUUUUCGUGGGGGAUAACGUAGGGAAACUUACGCUAAUACCGCAUACGACCUACGGGUGAAAGCAGGGGAUCUUCGGACCUUGCGCGAUUGAAUGAGCCGAUGUCGGAUUAGCUAGUUGGCGGGGUAAAGGCCCACCAAGGCGACGAUCCGUAGCUGGUCUGAGAGGAUGAUCAGCCACACUGGAACUGAGACACGGUCCAGACUCCUACGGGAGGCAACAGUGGGGAAUAUUGGACAAUGGGCGCAAGCCUGAUCCAGCCAUACCGCGUGGGUGAAGAAGGCCUUCGGGUUGUAAAGCCCUUUUGUUGGGAAAGAAAAGCAGCAGGUUAAUACCCCGCUGUUCUGACGGUACCCAAAGAAUAAGCACCGGCUAACUUCGUG